UACGUAGGGUGCAGGCGUUAAUCGGAAUUACUGGGCGUAAAGCGUGCGCAGGCGGUUCGCCAAGUCAGGUGUGAAAUCCCCGGGCUUAACCUGGGAAUUGCGCUUGAAACUAGCGGGCUUGAGUGUGGCAGAGGGAGGUGGAAUUCCACGUGUAGCGGUGAAAUGCGUAGAGAUGUGGAGGAACACCGAUGGCGAAGGCAGCCUCCUGGGCCAACACUGACGCUCAUGCACGAAAGCGUGGGGAGCAAACAGG
rnacentral:rRNA from 1 species